GCCGAAGUGGCGGAAUUGGCAGACGCGCAGCGUUCAGGACGCUGUGAGGGUUACCUCGUGCGAGUUCGAGUCUCGCCUUCGGCACCA
rnacentral:tRNA from 1 species